AUACGGAGGGUGCAAGCGUUAUCCGGAAUCACUGGGUUUAAAGGGUGCGUAGGCGGACUAGUAAGUCAGAGGUGAAAUCCCGUCGCUUAACGACGGAACUGCCUUUGAUACUGCUUGUCUUGAAUCAGGUUGAGGUAUGCGGAAUGUGGCAUGUAGCGGUGAAAUGCGUAGAUAUGCCAUAGAACACCGAUUGCGAAGGCAGCAUACUGGCCCUGUAUUGACACUGAGGCACGAAAGCGUGGGGAGCGAACAGGAUUAGAUACCCUAGUAGUCC
rnacentral:rRNA from 1 species